rnacentral:rRNA from 1 species
CCUACGGGAGGCAGCAGUGAGGAAUAUUGGUCAAUGGACGAGAGUCUGAACCAGCCAAGUAGCGUGAGGGAUGAAGGUACAGAGUAUCGUAAACCUCUUUUGUCAGGGAACAAAGGCGGGGACGUGUCCCCGGAUGAGUGUACCUGAAGAAAAAGCAUCGGCUAACUCCGUGCCAGCAGCCGCGGUAAUACGGAGGAUGCGAGCGUUAUCCGGAUUUAUUGGGUUUAAGGGGUGCGCAGGCGGUCUGUUAAGUCAGCGGUCAAAGCCCGGGGCUCAACCCCGGCCCGCCGUUGAAACUGGCAGUCUCGAGUUGGAGAGAAGUAUGCGGAAUGCGCGGUGUAGCGGUGAAAUGCAUAGAUAUCGCGCAGAACUCCGAUUGCGAAGGCAGCUUGCUGCAGCGGAACUGACGCUGAUGCUCGAAAGCGCGGGUAUCGAACAGGAUUAGAUACCCCAGUAGUC